GACGAACGCUGGCGGCGUGCUUAACACAUUCAAGUCGAACGCUGAAGCUCAGCUUUUGUUGGGUGGAUGAGUGGCGAACGGGUGAGUAACACGUGAGUAACCUGCCUCCUUCUUUGGGAUAACGCCCGGAAACGGGUGCUAAUACUGGAUAUUCACUGGUCUUCGCAUGGGGGUUGGUGGAAAGGGUUUUUCUGGUGGGGGAUGGGCUCGCGGCCUAUCAGCUUGUUGGUGGGGUGAUGGCCUACCAAGGCUUUGACGGGUAGCCGGCCUGAGAGGGUGACCGGUCACAUUGGGACUGAGAUACGGCCCAGACUCCCACGGGAGGCAGCAGUGGGGAAUAUUGCACAAUGGGCGCAAGCCUGAUGCAGCGACGCCGCGUGAGGGAUGGAGGCCUUCGGGUUGUGAACCUCUUUCGCUCAUGGUCAAGCCGCAACAAUGGUUGUGGUGAGGGUAGUGGGUAAAGAAGCGCCGGCUAACUACGUG
rnacentral:rRNA from 1 species